GAUGAACGCUGGCGGCGUGCCUAAUACAUGCAAGUCGAGCGGACCAAAGAGAGCUUGCUCUCUGAGGUUAGCGGCGGACGGGUGAGUAACACGUGGGUAACCUGCCUGUAAGACGGGGAUAACUUCGGGAAACCGAAGCUAAUACCGGAUGAUAAAGAGAAACGCCUGUUUAUCUUUUGAAAGUCGGCCUUGUGCUGACGCUUACAGAUGGGCCCGCGGCGCAUUAGCUAGUUGGUGAGGUAACGGCUCACCAAGGCGACGAUGCGUAGACGACCUGAGAGGGUGAUCGGCCACACUGGGACUGAGACACGGCCCAGACUCCUACGGGAGGCAGCAGUAGGGAAUCUUCGGCAAUGGACGAAAGUCUGACCGAGCAACGCCGCGUGAGCGAUGAAGGCCUUCGGGUCGUAAAGCUCUGUUGUCAGAGAAGAACAAGUACCGGAGUAACUGCCGGUACCUUGACGGUACCUGACCAGAAAGCCACGGCUAACUACGUGCCAGCAGCCGCGGUAA
rnacentral:rRNA from 1 species